CAGGAGGUGAGGUGCGUUUGGGAGCACAUUUUAUUUGUUUCCUGACAGAAAAUCUGGAGAGGAAGAUCGUCAUUGACAACAUUUUCGAGGACUGGAAUGUUAUACAGGUGACCUGCAGUGGAUUCCAACUGCUUUGUGACAUGAACAAUUGCAUUAAGGAGCACAAAAUAUGAAAAACCUCCACUGAACACAUUUGAACACAAAGGAAUUCUCCAAGAUAUUAGGGGUACUAUUUGUUUCCAUCACAGAAGCAAGAAGGUUGGCACAUGGGCAAGAGGGAGGAGAUCCAUCACAUCACCAAAUGCUUUUGAUGGACAAACCAGGGUUUUUUUCCACCACAGCCUUGCACAGUUUCCAAAAUCACAAUUCAA